rnacentral:lncRNA from 1 species
CUUUGUUCACUGUUACACGAUGAAUGACGCUCUUGUAUAUGCCGUUGCUCAUCACCUCUACCUGAUCUCCCAGCUGAACUAUCAAAGCUCCUUCUAUAUACGGCACACAAACCCAGUUUUUGUUGCAGUCCAUUAUCUGGAGUCCCUUGCUACUCUGAAGUAAGAUGGUCAGUGAGCUGAAGUCUGAGUGUGGUGGCAUUCCCAAGGCCAUUUCAGGUUCCGGGCAUGCUGGAUAACAAUUCACUGCCAUGACUUGUGAGCCUUCUUCUAUCUCUUCUUCAUGGAGGAUUUGAUGGCCACAUAUCGAUCCACUUUGAGAGUGGAUGAGAGUAAUGCUUGAUGAAAUCUCUCCAGUAGUGAACUCUGUCUGUUGAAUGGUUAAGGCUUGUGCCAUACCUGACUGGCUCAUGAACGUUUGCAGACACCAGAAGCAUCUUCUCUUCCACAGGCCAUGCUAAUCUCGUGGAUUGCGAGGGAUCGAAGGAAAGGUUGGUGCAAAAGAGAGAGAUCAAUGACAGGAAGUGUAGUCUCGCUGGUGCCUAAGCUUGAACCAAGAGCUGGCCUUUGCGAAGGAGGAAGAACGUAGCGAUCAGGGACUUGAGGCACACCUGAAUUGGGGCAAAACUGUCUUUUCAUCAGAUCAGACUGGUAACGUACUGGAUUUACCGCCAUUUCAUAAAAGGUUUAAAGAUAUUUUGGUUUCCACUUUUAAGGCAAAAAAAGAAAAUACUAACAUAUUUCUGUGUGUUGACGUCAUUUAUGAAGGAUGAAUAUCGGUCGAGAUUCAUGGACCAGCACUGAAUAAGGAUGCUGUAUCAUUUAGUUUAUAUAUGUCAUAUGAAUAAAUAAGUAAUUUUUAAUCCUUGUUGAGAAUUGGAAAAAUAACAUGCAUGUUAAAAUGCAUCUGUACUACAACAAGGUCUAUGAGUUGGUUUUUCCUCUUGUCGAAGGUUACAGAGUUCCUCUACCGUUGGAGGAGAGAGUAACUAGUGUGACAUCAUUCUUUCGUAAGAGAUUGUGGAGACUAGAGACCGAGAGUAGUACAGAGAAUUUUUUUUAAUUGUUCCAUAUUUGAAUUAGAACUCUAUCAAGUGUUUCUUUUUGUGUCUAAUCUCAAUAUUAAGCAGUGUCACUUCCAUGUCGGCUGCUGGAUAAAUCCAGCUUUUUCCGUUUGGGUCGAAAAC